GCCAUGUUCUCAUCCCCUUACUCACUCUGAGUUGUACCUUACUCCGUGAAUAUUCCUACUUUGAGUCAUGUAGAGUAGCAUUGACUUAAUUAUCAGCAUCUGGCCCUCAAUCUGACUACAUCAUAACCAAAGGAAUGAGAGGGCAGGUCUGUGCUACAAAUUUACAUCUGUGCUGGUGCAGCUGCAGCCAUCUGGUGAAGAUGUUCUAAGUUGAUGGGAGAGAGCUCUGCUGUGGGCUUAAUAACUCCAUCUCCAUGAGAGGAUCUCCUGCUGACAUAGUACUGUCUACACGGGGGGCGGGGGGAGUAAGAAAUAAUCACAUCUGCGUUCAGAGGAGGAACACUGGCCUCAGAUCGCAUAUUGAUGAACUUCAAGACAAGGUGGAUGAGGCAAUAUCCUUUAUUGGACUAGCUUCUGUUGAUGAGAGACAAACUUCUGAGCUUAUGCAGAGCUGCUUCUUGUUUGUUUGAUCAGCUACUGUACUGUGGAUGAACAUUUUAUAUUCGCUUCCCAAGGUACUCU